UGGCAGAAUAGAUGUUUGAAACCCAUAA
rnacentral:piRNA from 1 species